rnacentral:lncRNA from 1 species
GUUUAUUUAUUUUUUAUUGCAUUUUAGGAUUUGGGUUACAUAUGAAGAACAUGCAAGAUUGUUGCGUGUUGACACAUCCAGCAUGGCCACUUUCAAGCCCCUAGGGAGAUGUUACUGAAGAAAGGGUUGAAAAGAGAUACUCACCAUUGGCUCUCAUGAGCUACUGCAGGCUGGUUCCAGUGCACCACUGAGUGCUGAGUAGUAGAGCUUCAAACAUCCUUUGAA